AAACAUUUCCAGAUUCCAUUUUGACUAUCACUUCUGAACAAGAGUUGCCUCCUUACAGAUUAUGUCAAUAUGGUCCUUCCAGAAUUAUCACUAUACUUCCAACUGUCCUUGAGCAACCAAUCUUUGGUAAACCUUAGAUUGUCCUCGACAAUUGUUUAAUCCUUUUAGUCAUAUCCAGUUCUAAACCUUUUCCCUUCUUAAUGCCCCAGGCAUUUGGAAAAUUUUAGAACGGAUGAAUAUAGCACAUGUAAUCGAUCCUAUAUCCGAAGCAUAUGGGACACGAUUCAUGAUGUCUCACAUAAAGACUAAACCAGUCUUUUGCUAUAACAUUUCCAUUUCAAUUUGCCAAGUUCUCAUAAUUCAGAUUAUGAAAAGGGAUGCCGUAAUCAUAAUCGAAUUUUAGAACGCAAAUAAUGGACCCAUAUACAGAAUUUCCUUAUGUUGAGCCAUUCCAACAUGAAAUUCAUAUAUAUCCUUGACUAAAUGAUUAAAACCUCACGAUCUAAGCUUAUAGAUUUGAGAUGAAGUAUAAUUUCCUCUCCCUUAAUUAUAGCAAAACAACUUUUUCCCAAUUGAAACUUUUGUUUUCUAUAAUUAACAUUGCUAACUUGCAAUACUUAUCAUAAUUAUCAUGCUCCCACUAACAUGAUGAUUAUUAGCAUAACACUUAUGCUCCCACUAGCUUUGACAUGUACUCAGAAAUCAGCUGGACUUCUAGAAAUCAAUACUUCAUUGACUUUCUUACCAAAGUUCAGAUUUCUGAUGCUAGAUUGUUUUGAUAAAACUUUAUCAAAAUCAUACACCUUCCCUUAGAUAGCACACUUGUGUAUCUAAACAAUUAUGAAGAGGGAUGCCGUAAUCAUAAUGUUUAGACCUUUUUGCCACUUCUCACAAGUCCAAAUUAGUGUGCCGGUUAACCACACGCGCUCCACUAACGACUUUGAGAAUGCAAAUAUCACAAUUGCUAUCUAGCUAAAAUCUACUUAGUGAAAGUGUUUCCUCACCAUCAUUUUCAUGAAUCGGAGAGAAACCUUAUGACACUUAGAUUUAAUGGUGUAUGUGUUCUUAUCCAUGUGAAUUGUCAAAAUCAUAGUCACAAGACAAGGAUAAUGACAAAUCCAAACUCAUAUGGACUGAACUCAAUCUUAAUUUCUUGCCACCUGGCAGCUCAAGGGCCUACCAUUGCUUCCAAGUUGUUGUGCAACCAAUUGAGAACUCUAAGAACUCAUAUGCAAAGCCAACUUUAACUGGAAUGGGCACAGAAUAUGUCAACACGAUAGGUUAUAAACCUCAAGUCGUGUGCUAGUGAAGAACUUCAGGUUUUAUUCUUGAUUAGUUCUUGAGACUUUCAAGACCUUUAAGACUCCCACUGUCCUCUUGACAUAUAAGACUCCCUUGUCAAACAUCCAAGAGAUAGUGCGGAUUCUAAUCAAGAAAAACACUUUACCCAAUUGGCCUAAGUUGGUCUUUGUUUUAUCCAAAACAUCACAACUUACCAAUUUCAAAUGUACAAGAGUAGAAAACUUUUACUCUUACAUUUGACAAGUGUUUUAAACCUUCUUUAAGACAUGUCACUCAAAUGACAAUCUUGGAGUAUGACUCUAAGACUUGUAUUGGAACGAAGUAUGACUCAUCUUCUUGAUUUAACCAUUUCAACAAUUCAAGUUCCUCUUCUUAGUCAUAAGAAUGCACUAAGAUUUCCUUAGAGAACUAAUUUUGAUAUGGUUUCUUAAUCAUUAAGAUGAUCACAAAACUGAUACUAAAGUACUCUCCCAUCUUUUCAGAUUUGAGAAACUUUUAUCCUUCUGCCUUAUUUGAUUCUUCUUAUUCGCCCUGCCAUACAUUGGAACCUUUUCCAAUGUCUCAGAGUUACACUUAAGCUUGUAAGUAUAAUCAUAUUUACUGAGCUUUAGUAAACUAUGACGAAUAGUCUUAUCAAUCUUUUGUGGUGGACUUAAUCAGUGCACAAGAAUGUGUACUCGAUCCCUUAGUCCUUUACUUGACUCACACAUCCAUGUGGCCGAGUAAUUAGUCUUAAUUUUCCAAAACUUGAAAGUUCUCAUUCAUCAUGCUAUACAACUUGCAUGAUUCCAAGUUCCGGUCCAAUUGAAACUUGGGUGAUGAGAAUCUUUCCUUAUUUGGUAAAUCUAGACAUUACCACAAAUGAAAGAAUCAAUUUCAUAUUUCCACUCUUGCUCUUAAUGGAAUCAUAUAAGCAACAAUUUUUCCUCAAAAGCCAUUGUAAGGAUAUUUUAAAAUAAAUAAAAUCAAAAAAAUUUUCUUUUAUUUUAAAACUUUGCGGAAAAACUUAUCCUUACAAUCCAUAUGAAAACUUGUUGUUAUCUAUUCCUAAGCAAUAUCUCAUAACUCCUAAGAAGUUGCUCAAGAAUCCGAUCUUCAAACUAUGCGAUAGAAAUCCAUCUACGCCAUCAGAUUCAGCAUAUUCUUUCUUUAAGUUUCUUCACUUUUCUUUGAUUCUUAAAACAUCACCAUGUGACCCAGUCACAUCAUGUAUCAGGAAUCUCAGAAUAGAAACUUAACAGAGUUAGAUAGUGGUCUUUACCUGAAGUAGAGUCAAACUUAUUGACUUUAACAUCCUUAGGUAAAUUUGGCAGCUUCGCAACCAAUGCCCCUUCCCUUGGCAAUAUAAACAUAUGGACCCUUUGAUAAUGGUACACGAGACUAUCACAGACUUAGCUUUUCUCUUUACCAUUUGGUCAACCGAGUUGACUAUGGCCGAUCCCUUUCCAUUGGGAAGAGAAUGCUUUACUGGAUAUCCAAUGUCAUCAUUGUCAAUGUCCAUAAAGUUUUAGGAAGUUGAUCUUAGCAAAUAGAUAAGAUCAUUAAGGGUCUUGUCAUAGUCUGUUUCAUAGGUGUCCCAAAGGAACUCACUAUGUGACUUAGAAAGUGAUUGAACCACCAACUUUCUCAAGACUUUGACACCCAACUCUCCCGGCUUGUCAAUAUGUGACUACAUCUCCAAGAUGUGAUCACACCUAGACCUUGCCUUGCCAAUAGGGCUUGAGUGACCUUAAACUUUUCAAGAACUUGUGGGUUAGGGAGAAUAAUUGGAGGAGGUGAAAGAAGUAUGAUUUCCAAAGGACAUCAUCUUCAUUUAGGAAACCUUGUUUCACUAGAUUUGGGAAGAUCAUAGGUGUCUAUUACAGACAUCUUUUGGGAGAUAUUCAAGAUAGUUGAUUUAAAGUCCUUAAUAUGACACCCAAUAUGAAAUAUUAAGGCUAGGACCCAACAAACUAUUUUAUAACUUAGAAGAGGUAUGCCGUAAUCCAAGCUAUAAAAUAUUUGAAGGUAGGUGAAUGACGAUUCACCAAUUUCCACCAAGAUAAACGAAAUGUAUUAUUAGGUUUUAAUUGGUUUUGAAACUCCUAGAUCUUUGAGAUUCAUUGAACUUUUCAAAGGCAUGUUUCAAUCUCGAGUGUGCCCUUCAGGUUUUGUGACUGGGAUGCCGAGGAUCACAAAACAAGGUGUGAAGUAACCAUGCAAAUCACUUGGUACCCUUAAUAAAUUACCCCUCAAUCGAUGUGCCGGUUAACCACACACGCUCCAUCGAUACUAUGAUAAAUAUUAAGUCACCCUUUACCUACCUUGUUAAGUCCAAGUUAGUGUGCCGGUUAACCACACACGCUCCACUAACGACUUAGACAAAGUGUAAAGUGUAAUUUCAUGGAUUAGCACCUUAUUCACAUUUUUCCUAAGUAACUAAGAUUGGGUAUUAUUAAGAGUUUAGUUACUUAGUAUUAUCAUUAAUACUUUUAAUGAAGGGAGAAUUCUAGUCCUGUCAAACCCGUUCGGCUAACGACCCUCCACCAGUCAAGCAAGCGGUGGGUGAGAGUGGACACCCAUUAAGUUGCCAUUUUAUAGGCAACAACCUUAUACCCACCUUAUAGACCGGCUUCGUGAAUGAGGCGUACUAGCGGUAAGACUGACUUUACUCUUAUACAUAUAUAUAUUAUUAACUUAUAAUAUUAUAAAGUAUAAGGGUUGAAUUUGAACUUUUAAAAUUCUAAGGGCUAACUUGGAAUUAAAGUAUUCAUAAGUGAAAAGUUUUCAAAUUCCAAAACUUGAGGGCAUGUUUUGAAACUAUUCAAAACUAAUUAAUUCCAUAACUUAUGUGUUUAAAGUAGUUUUAAUUAAAAAAAACCCUUCAAGUUCCAUAACAUGAGGACAAGUUAUGGAAGACUUUAAAUUAUUAAAGAAUGUAACUUUUUCUUUAUUUUGUAAGUUAUGGAAUUAAUUAAGGUUACAUAUUUUAUUACUUAAUGAAGUGACUCUUGAACCUCCAUAACUUGAGGACAAGACUCUUCAUUUUUUGUAACCAUUGCCAACUUUUAUGAGUUUUAUGAAACUUAGAUGUGACUUUUCAUAUAUAACUUGAGGACAAGUUACAAAAACACAUUUUAGAAUCAACUCUUAGAUUAAUUUGGAUUGAAAACAAUAAUUUCACAUAACUUUCUAUUAAUCUAAGCAACUCAUAAGAACAAGAUGAUCAAAACAAAACUUUUUCNCAAACUUUUUCAUGUAAUUAGUCUAAACCUUAAACUAAUACAAAACAUGAAUCUAUUGACAAUUAUCUUUGAAAUUGGAUUAGCAUGAACAUUACCACAUCAAAAACAAGUUUAUAAGUCCAAAAACAUCUUAGGGUAAUGUUCCUAGUCUAAUUUUCAGCCAAAAAAACUCGAAAAUAUGCUAUCUGGGGCUCCAACUCGUUGAGUGCACGAACCAACUCGGCGAGUUGGAUAUAUUUUUCCUUGGACUCGACGAGUCCAUUCCUGGACUCGGCAAGUCUUCUGGGCAAACAACAUUGAAACUCGAUUUUUCAGCUACUUUAGCAAGUAUAACAAGAAAACAAGUCUGGGCUCUAAUACCAUUGAUGGGUUUUGAGCAUUCUAACACUCCUAAGUGNNNNNNNNNNNNNNNNNNNNNNNNNNNNNNNNNNNNNNNNNNNNNNNNNNNNNNNNNNNNNNNNNNNNNNNNNNNNNNNNNNNNNNNNNNNNNNNNNNNNGGUUUGAAUAACUUAGUCAAUCAGAAUAAUGACCUAGUUAUUCUGAAAGUCAAAAACAUGAAAAGUGAAACACAAUAAUAAUCGAAUCCAAUAUGGUCUCAGAACUUAUGAAUAUAAAUAAACACCUUUUAUUUAUCACCAUAUGAUUACACAUUAUUCAUUGGAUACUGUUUCAUCUUUACUUUGUGAAAUAGAUCAAUUGAACAUAACUCCAAUGAUCCUCUUUUCAUAGUCCCAAAUCCGUACUGCAAAUGCAAGAAUUCCAAAUUCAUGCGAUUUACUAAAAUCUGUUAGAUUCUAAACUUAUAUGCAUUGAUCCUCUUGUAAUGAUUAUGCACAAAUCACAAGGACUUGACAACAAACAUUAAAAAGUAUUCCAAAGGAGAUCAACUCCUUGGAAACAUCCUUCUUGCAUUAAGUUUCCUUAAUCUUACACAGAUUGAAAUUUCUAACUUUGAAACAUUUCCGGAUUCCAUUUUGAUUAUCACUUCUUAACAAUAGUUGCCUCCUUACAAAUUAUGUCAAUAUGGUCCUUCUAGAAUUAUCACUAUACUUCCAACUGUCCUUGAGCAUCCAAUCUUUGGUAAACCUUAGAUUGUCCUCGACAAUUGUUUAAUCCUUUUAGUCAUAUCCAAUUCUAGACCUUUUUCCCUUCUUAAUGCCCCAGACAUUUGGAAAAUUUUAGAAAGGAUGAAUAUAGCACAUGUAAUCGAUCCUAUAUCCGAAGCAUAUGGGACACGAUUCAUGAUGUCUCACAUAAAGACUAAACCAGUCUUUUGCUAUAACAUUUCCAUUUC
rnacentral:lncRNA from 1 species